rnacentral:rRNA from 1 species
AGAGUUUGAUCCUGGCUCAGGACGAACGCUGGCGGCGCGCCUAACACAUGCAAGUCGAACGAGCGAGAGAGAGCUUGCUUUCUCGAGCGAGUGGCGAACGGGUGAGUAACGCGUGAGGAACCUGCCUCAAAGAGGGGGACAACAGUUGGAAACGACUGCUAAUACCGCAUAAGCCCACGGGUCGGCAUCGACCAGAGGGAAAAGGAGCAAUCCGCUUUGAGAUGGCCUCGCGUCCGAUUAGCUAGUUGGUGAGGUAAUGGCCCACCAAGGCGACGAUCGGUAGCCGGACUGAGAGGUUGAACGGCCACAUUGGGACUGAGACACGGCCCAGACUCCUACGGGAGGCAGCAGUGGGGAAUAUUGCACAAUGGGGGAAACCCUGAUGCAGCGACGCCGCGUGGAGGAAGAAGGUCUUCGGAUUGUAAACUCCUGUUGUUGAGGAAGAUAAUGACGGUACUCAACAAGGAAGUGACGGCUAACUACGUGCCAGCAGCCGCGGUAAAACGUAGGUCACAAGCGUUGUCCGGAAUUACUGGGUGUAAAGGGAGCGCAGGCGGGAAGACAAGUUGGAAGUGAAAUCUAUGGGCUCAACCCAUAAACUGCUUUCAAAACUGUUUUUCUUGAGUAGUGCAGAGGUAGGCGGAAUUCCCGGUGUAGCGGUGGAAUGCGUAGAUAUCGGGAGGAACACCAGUGGCGAAGGCGACCUACUGGGCACCAACUGACGCUGAGGCUCGAAAGCAUGGGUAGCAAACAGGAUUAGAUACCCUGGUAGUCCAUGCCGUAAACGAUGAUUACUAGGUGUUGGAGGAUUGACCCCUUCAGUGCCGCAGUUAACACAAUAAGUAAUCCACCUGGGGAGUACGACCGCAAGGUUGAAACUCAAAGGAAUUGACGGGGGCCCGCACAAGCAGUGGAGUAU